rnacentral:rRNA from 1 species
GACGAAGGGGGCUAGCGUUGUUCGGAAUUACUGGGCGUAAAGCGCGUGUAGGCGGUUGUUCAAGUCAGGUGUGAAAGCCUUGAGCUCAACUCAAGAAAUGCACUUGAUACUGGAUGACUAGAGGACCGGAGAGGUAAGUGGAAUUCCGAGUGUAGAGGUGAAAUUCGUAGAUAUUCGGAAGAACACCAGUGGCGAAGGCGACUUACUGGACGACUGUGGACGCUGAGGUGCGAAAGCGUGGGGAGCAAACAGG